rnacentral:lncRNA from 1 species
UUGGAAAGUAGAGGUGGUCAGAGGGGGACGUUCUUCCCAGAUACACUGACACACUGACAGUACAAUAUACUGUCCUAGACACAACUGACCUCAAUUUUUGUUUAUUUGUCUUUUUCAGGAAAGCAGGCACUAUUUUUCAGAAAGACAUUCAAGGCAGCUGUAAGAAUAAUUGUACUUCAUGAAAUAGUGCUAUUGAACAUUUAAAGACUGAAAAACAGCAAAGAGUGAAAAAUAUCUAUAAGCCUAGGACAUUUUUGAACUUCCACACAUGGACAAAAAGCAAAGCCAAAGAAUGGAUGAGGAACCUUCGCUUUACAGGUCCCUCAGCUUUCAUGAAAUCAACAUAGGCUCACAAUUCUAAGAAUAACUAUCUCAUAAUCAAAUGCUUCUAGAUAUACUGGACUGUUCAUUUGGGUGGGAAACUACCCAAACAUACCUCUUGCUCUUAAAAAUAUAGUAUAGCAUCCAUAUCUCUGCACAGUAUGUUCACUUAGGAAACCAUCAAGCCCUUUAUGACCUAAAUGGCUACAGAGCUACUACAUACAGAGAGACCCACAAAGACACAGACAUAUACAGCAGACACAACACAUUCAGGUUAUACAUGGACUCAGCUAAUCCACAAGAAAAAUCAAAUUAGAAAAGCAUAUUAGAAUAUAUUACUUGGCAGAGAAUGACAUGAGUGACACAAAGAUUUCCAAAACCCGUGUAGCUGUCAGUGCAGGAACCAAGAAUGACUGGAUAAAGCAAGUUGAAGAGAAAAUAACAUUCUUAGAAACUCAGAUUGAAGCAGCCAAGAAAAAUCAGGAGGAGGAAAGAAUAGCAGCGUCUUUCGAGGAACAGUACCUUGAAAAGCUGGUAGGCAAGGCUGGAAAGCAAAUAUCUCUGAGCAAAGUGAUUUUUUAAAAAUGUAUAUUAUAUGACACCAUAAAAACACCAAGCAAAAAAAUCUGUUGGUUAGAUCAGGAUGGGCUAAUGAUAUGAAGAGAAAAUAACAUUCUUAGAAACUCAGAUUGAAGCAGCCAAGAAAAAUCAGGAGGAGGAAAGAAUAGCAGCGUCUUUCGAGGAACAGUACCUUGAAAAGCUGGUAGGCAAGGCUGGAAAGCAAAUAUCUCUGAGCAAAGUGAUUUUUUAAAAAUGUAUAUU